CCUACGGGUGGCAGCAGUGAGGAAUAUUGGACAAUGGGCGCGAGCCUGAUCCAGCCAAGUAGCGUGAAGGAUGACUGCCCUCCGGGUUGUAAACUUCUUUUGUAAAGGAAUAAAGUGCGGCACGUGUGCCUUUUUGUCUGUACUUUAUGAAUAAGGAUCGGCUAACUCCGUGCCAGCAGCCGCGGUAAUCCGGAGGAUCCGAGCGUUAUCCGGAUUUAUUGGGUUUAAAGGGAGCGUAGAUGGGUUGUUAAGUCAGUUGUGAAAGUUUGCGGCUCAACCGUAAAAGUGCAAUUGAUACUGGCAGUCUUGAGUACAGUUGAGGUAGGCGGAAUUCGUGGUGUAGCGGUGAAAUGCGUAGAUAUCACGAAGAACUCCGAUUGCGAAGGCAGCAUACUAAACUGCCACUGACAUUGAUGCUCGAAAGUGUGGGUAUCAAACAGGAUUAGAUACCCUGGUAGUC
rnacentral:rRNA from 1 species